rnacentral:rRNA from 1 species
AUUGAACGCUGGCGGCAGGCCUAACACAUGCAAGUCGAGCGGAGCGGCGGACGGGUGAGUAAUGCCUAGGAAUCUGCAUGGUAGUGGGGGAUAACGUCCGGAAACGGGCGCUAAUACCGCAUACUAUCAGAUGAGCCUAGGUCGGAUUAGCUAGUUGGUGGGGUAAAGGCCUACCAAGGCGACGAUCCGUAACUGGUCUGAGAGGAUGAUCCGUCACACUGGAACUGAACCACGGUCCAGACUCCUACGGGAGGCAGCAGUGGGGAAUAUUGCCCAAUGGGCGCAAGCCUGAUGCAGCCAUGCCGCGUGUAUGAAGAAGGCCUUCGGGUUGUAAAGUACUUUCGGCGGGGAGGCGUUACCCGCAGAAGAAGCACCGGCUAACUCCGUGCCAGCCGCCGCGGUAAUAC